UACGUAGGGACCAAGCGUUGUCCGGAAUCAUUGGGCGUAAAGAGCGUGUAGGCGGCUUGUUAAGUCUUGCGUGAAAUCUCGGGGCUCAACCCCGAGCGGUCGUGAGAAACUGGCAGGCUAGAGUGCGGGAGAGGAGAGUGGAACUCCUGGUGUAGCGGUGAAAUGCGCAGAUAUCAGGAAGAACACCCGUGGCGAAGGCGGCUCUCUGGAACGCAACUGACGCUGAGACGCGAAAGCGUGGGGAGCAAACAGG
rnacentral:rRNA from 1 species